GAAGCUGACCAGACAGUCGCCGCUUCGUCGUCGUCCUCCUUCGGGGGAGACGGGCGGAGGGGAGGAAAGUCCGGGCUCCAUAGGGCAAGGUGCCAGGUAACGCCUGGGGGGUGUCACAGCCCACGACCAGUGCAACAGAGAGCAAACCGCCGAUGGCCCACGCAAGUGGGAUCAGGUAAGGGUGAAAGGGUGCGGUAAGAGCGCACCGCGCGGCUGGUAACAGUCCGUGGCACGGUAAACUCCACCCGGAGCAAGGCCAAAUAGGGGUUCAUAAGGUACGGCCCGUACUGAACCCGGGUAGGCUGCUUGAGCCAGUGAGCGAUUGCUGGCCUAGAUGAAUGACUGUCCAACGACAGAACCCGGCUUAUCGGUCAGUUUCACUC
rnacentral:RNase_P_RNA from 1 species